UACGGGAGGCAGCGGUGGGGAAUAUUGCACAAUGGGCGCAAGCCUGAUGCAGCCAUGCCGCGUGUAUGAAAAAGGCCUUCGGGUUGUAAAGUACUUUCAGUCGUGAGGAAGGUGUUAAGGUUAAUAACCUUAGCAAUUGACGUUAGCGACAGAAGAAGCACCGGCUAACUCCGUGCCAGCAGCCGCGGUAAUACGGAGGGUGCGAGCGUUAAUCGGAAUUACUGGGCGUAAAGGGCACGCAGGCGGUUAAUUAAGUUGGAUGUGAAUCCCCGGGCUUAACCUGGGAAUGGCAUUCAAGACUGGUUAGCUAGAGUCUUGUAGAGGGGGGUAGAAUUCCAUGUGUAGCGGUGAAAUGCGUAGAGAUGUGGAGGAAUACCGGUGGCGAAGGCGGCCCCUGGACAAAGACUGACGCUCAUGUGCGAAAGCGUGGGGAGCAAACAGGGAUUAGAUACC
rnacentral:rRNA from 1 species